UACGAAGGGGGCUAGCGUUGCUCGGAAUUACUGGGCGUAAAGCGCACGUAGGCGGUCUUUUAAGUCGGGGGUGAAAUCCUGGAGCUCAACUCCAGAACUGCCUUCGAUACUGGAAGACUCGAGUCCGGGAGAGGUGAGUGGAACUGCGAGUGUAGAGGUGAAAUUCGUAGAUAUUCGCAAGAACACCAGUGGCGAAGGCGGCUCACUGGCCCGGUACUGACGCUGAGGUGCGAAAGCGUGGGAGCAACAGGGAUUAAGAA
rnacentral:rRNA from 1 species